AUUGAACGCUGGCGGCAUGCUUUACACAUGCAAGUCGAACGGUAACAGGCCGCAAGGUGUUGACGAGUGGCGAACGGGUGAGUAAUGCAUCGGAACGUGCCCAGUCGUGGGGGAUAACGCAGCGAAAGUUGCGCUAAUACCGCAUACGAUCUAUGGAUGAAAGCGGGGGACCGUAAGGCCUCGCGCGAUUGGAGCGGCCGAUGUCAGAUUAGGUAGUUGGUGGGGUAAAGGCUCACCAAGCCGACGAUCUGUAGCUGGUCUGAGAGGACGACCAGCCACACUGGGACUGAGACACGGCCCAGACUCCUACGGGAGGCAGCAGUGGGGAAUUUUGGACAAUGGGCGCAAGCCUGAUCCAGCAAUGCCGCGUGCAGGAAGAAGGCCUUCGGGUUGUAAACUGCUUUUGUACGGAACGAAACGGUCCUGGUUAAUACCCGGGGCUAAUGACGGUACCGUAAGAAUAAGCACCGGCUAACUACGUGCCAGCAGCCGCGGUAAGAC
rnacentral:rRNA from 1 species